UUUUUGGUGAUAUUUAGCGGAUUCGUGUGGUUUUAUUAGCUUUUUUCGCUGAAUAGCAGGAUAUUUACGAUGGCUUACUUCACAAUUAUAGUAUUUCUCCUUCAAUUUAUGAAAAGACACAUCGAAUUGAAAAAACUCCAAGCAUCAUAUAUAAGGAAAUUAUACAAUUAAGUCUCUAAAAAAUAAAAUACAACACAUGAAAAAAGUGAUGGACUUUUUGAGACAAGAUCAACGUAUUUCUGAAAAUGCUGCCCAUCAUUGGGAGAAAUCUUUUGAUUCAGUGCCACAUUGAUGAAAAGAUAUUUAAAAAAUGUAGAGAAUGAUACUAUGACCCUAAAAGUUCCAGUCUUGAGUGAAUUGUAAUAUUCUUCAAAAAUCAAGGGGGACUUCAUGUACCAUCAUAUGGAAUUAUAACGAUAUGUCAAUCAGGAAUUUGAUGAUUUCAACUAAAAAUAGAGUUCCAAGAGAUGAAAAUUUGCUCGAAUCAUUUGCAACAAUUCAGUCCCAAAAAUUUUAUGAUCGAGUUGAUGAUUUGUUCCCUUCCUUGAAAGAACAUUUUUUACAUUCUUCAGUGAUUGGCAGACAUCAUGGCUUUCUUUUAGUGAAAAAUAUUGCCAGAUCUCAUUUUAAAAUUAG